CUCAGGUGAUCCACCCGCCUCAGCCUCCCAGAGUGCUGGGAUUACAGGCAUGAGCCACUGCGCCCGGCCAGGCAGGCUAAUUCUUUCUGGUGUGGUCCUGUCCUGUACUUACCAGGAUGCAGGAUAUCCACAUCUCCCAGCCACAAACUUCAGUAACAUUCCCAGUCAUUAUUACAAUCACAAUACCCCCAUAGGUUUCCAAGGACAUGGGAGAGAGGGGAGGAUCAUGCUACCCUCCAGUUAUAAACCACUGUUUUUCCCCCACCUUGUGUGGUCUCCAUUCUCAAGUUUACUUCAUGAUCCAAAAUGACUGCUUGAGCUCCAGCUUUUUUUUUUUUUUUUUUUUUUGAGAUGGAGUCUUGUUCUGUCACCCAGGCCAGAGUGCAGUGGCGCAAUCUCGGCUCACUGCAACCUCUGCCUCCGAGGUUCAAGCAAUUAUCCUGCCUCAGCCUCCCAAGUAGCUGGGACUACAGGCACAUGCCACCAUGCCCAGCUAAUUUUUGUAUUUGUUUUUUUUUUUUUUAGUAGAGACGGGGUUUCACCAUAUUGGCCAGGAUAGUCUUGAUCUCUUGACCUCAUGAUCUGCCCACCUCGGCCUCCUAAAGUGCUGGGAUUACAGGCGUCAGCCACCGCGCCCAGCUUUUUUUUUUUUUUUUUUAAACAGGGUCUUGCUUUGUCACCCAGGCUGGAGUGCAGUGAUGCCAUCACAAAUCAUUGCAGCCUCAACCUCCUGGGCUCAAGUGAUCCUCCCACCUCAGCCUCUCUAGUAGCUGGGACUACAGGCAAGCCACCAUGCCGGACUAAUUUUUUGUAUUUUUAGUAGAGACGGGGUUUCACCGUGUUAGCCAGGAUGGUCUCGAUCUCCUGACCUCGUGAUCCGCCUGCCUCGGCCUCCCAAAGUGCUGGGAUUACAGGUGUGAGCCACCACGCCCGGCCUCGUUUUCUUACCUAUGUUGUGUUUUAGUUCCUGUGCUCCUGUGCCUGUCUGCUGUGCUGAGCUGCAGAUGUGUCCUGCCGCAGCUUUGCAGGACAGGGAUAAGUUGAGACGUGAAGCAAGAAGCCUUGCCUGUCAGGCUGCCCUUGGCAUGACUAGAGUGUAUGUGAGGAUUUUCACCUCUUAUUUUGGGGUCCGUUCUGUUCCUUCUUUGAACAAUAGUCUUUACAGGAUAGGGUGUUUGGGGACAGAUCAUCUUAUUUUAGAUAUAAAUAAAAAUUAACCCACUAUAAAUUUAUUUUUCAUUUAAAAAAAUUUUUUAAAGACAGGCUGUCACUCCCCCCCACAGGCUGGAGUGUGGUGGUAUAGUCAUAGCUCACUGCAGCCUUGAACUCUUGGGCUCAAGCCAUCAUCCCACCUCACACUCUUUCCCUGCCAGGCACCCCUUCUUUUUAAGGAUACUUCCUGGAAGCUAGUUGCCUACUCUCCCCCCUCCUACAUCCCAUGUACCAGAACUGUGGUCAUGUGGACAUGCUUAGCUGCAAAAGAGAAUGGAAAAUUCUUGCAGGCAGCGUGUGGCCAGCUCAGUUCACCAGCACUGUCACUGAAGAAUGAGAGGCUGUCAGCUGCAUGGGGGCAGUGAUUGUGUUUAUCUCUUCCCAGUGUCUAAAAUGGUGCUUGGCACACAGUAGGCACUUAAUAAGUAUACAUUGAAUGGGCCAGGCGCAGUGGCUCAUGCCUGUAAUCCCAGCACUUUGGGAGGCCGAAGCGGGUGGAUCACCUGAGGUCAGGAGUUGGAGACCAGCCUGGCCAACCUGGUGAAACCCCAUCUCUACUAAAAGUACACAAAUUAGCUGGGGUGGUGGUACGCACCUGUAAUCCCAGGUACUUGGGAGGCUGAGGCACAAGAAUCACUUGAACCCAAGAGGCGAAGGUUGCAGGGAGCCGAGAUCAUGCCACUGCACUCCAGCCUGGGUGACAGAGACUUUGUCUCAAAAAAAAAAAAAAAGGAUAUGUUGAAUGAAUGCGUGAGUGGAUAGUGGGGGAGACCAGGGAUCUGCUCCAGGAUAAACACCACACAGAAUGGCCAUCAGGAUCUGGGAGGAUGUAGAGUUUGCAGAGGAAGAUAGCCUUGCAGGGACCACAGCACAGUGACACACGCUCUGGCACCAUGGAACCACUGAGGGCACUGUCGUGGGCAGCAGGCAGACCUGAGUCCAAGUGUGGCUCCACCACUCACUAGCUGUGUGACCUUGGGCAAGCCCCUUACCUCUUUGAGCCUGUACAUGCUCAUCAGAUAAAGCAUGGGUCAUACCAAAUCCUUCUGCCUUACAGGGCUGUUGUGAGGAUUACCGAGUGCCUAGCACAGUGCCUGGCCUGCAGUAAGUGCUUUAUAAAUGUUAAAUAAUGUUAA